UACGGAGGGGGCGAGCGUUGUUCGGAAUCACUGGGUGUAAAGGGCGCGUAGGCGGCCUGCUAAGUCGAACGUGAAAUCCCUGGGCUCAACCCAGGAACUGCGUCCGAUACUGGUUGGCUUGAAUCCGGGAGAGGGACGUGGAAUUCCAGGUGUAGCGGUGAAAUGCGUAGAUAUCUGGAGGAACACCGGUGGCGAAGGCGACGUCCUGGACCGGCAUUGACGCUGAGGCGCGAAAGCCAGGGGAGCAAACGGG
rnacentral:rRNA from 1 species